rnacentral:rRNA from 1 species
UGUGUAGGCGGUUGGUUAAGUUUGGUGUGAAAUCUCCCGGCUCAACUGGGAGGGUGCGCCGAAUACUGAGUGACUAGAGUGCGGGAGAGGAAAGUGGAAUUCCUGGUGUAGCGGUGAAAUGCGUAGAUAUCAGGAGGAACACCGGUGGUGUAGACGGCUUUCCGGACCGUAACUGACGCUGAAACACGAAAGCGUGGGUAGCAAACAGGAUUAGAUACCCUGGUAGUCCACGCCCUAAACGAUGCAUAUUUGGUGUGGGCAGUUCAUUCUGUCCGUGCCGGAGCUAACGCGUUAAAUAUGCCGCCUGGGGAGUACAGUCGCAAGGCUGAA